CUGCGUUCUGAUUCUAUGGAACCUUUUUGUAGGGAGAAGGGCAGGAUGUUUUUAACUGAAUGUGACCUCACGGGAAUACUAGAGAAAAUAAUAAAAUUUCUGAAUGGGGCAGCGUGGAGAAAUCCUAAGAGAAAUAGCAUAAGAGCAUUUUGGAACACAUCCAGGAAAAGAUAACUUUCGACACACCUGUAGACAUUCGCCAGGUAAAGAGCCCCCAAUUUUGUGAGUGUCCCUGAAGCAUUGUGACAAUUCCAUUUUAUGUGUCUGCGUGCUCAUAUCAAGACUAAGGAGUGAUGGAAACUCUCCAGUUCAGAUCCAGUAGCUUUUAGGGAAGGAACUAUAGUUGCUGACUUGAGUUGAAGAAGCGUCUACUUAAUGUCUGGUCAAAUCCUACAAGAAAUACAGAAAUCUAUGAUUAAAAAGCUGAGCACUUUGAUAUACUGCAAAGGGUAGAGAAGGCAGGACGGCAGAAAUCUUCUGCAAGGAAGAAUGAAUUUCAGGAUUUAUCACUAAAUCAGACAAAGUCAUUUAUUUAGUACCCCUGACACAGCAGGGCAAACUGAGUUGGCAUACAAGUUACCUGGAGAAAAAGAGAGAUGGAUGCAGAGGCUGAAGAUAAAACGCUGCGUACUCGCUCUAAAGGAACUGAGGUGCCAAUGGAUUCGCUAAUCCAGGAGCUCAGUGUUGCCUAUGAUUGUUCCAUGGCAAAGAAGAGAAGAGCUGAAGAUCCGGCUUUGGGGGUUCCAGUCAACAAAAGGAAGUCCCUGCUAAUGAAGCCCCGACACUACAGCCCAAACACAGACUGCCAAGAAGACCGCAGCGACAGGACAGAGGACGAUGGCCCCUUGGAAACGCAUGAUCACUCUACUGCAGAGGAAGUCAUGAUAAAACCUAUGGAUGAAAGUCUCCUUUCAGCUGCACAAGAAAACUCCAGUAGGAAGGAAGACAGAUACUCUUGUUAUCAAGAGCUCGUGGUCAAGUCUUUAAUGCACUUGGGGAAAUUUGAAAAAAAUGUGUCUGUUCAGACCACAAGUGAAAACUUAAAUGACAGUGGCAUCCAAUCUUUAAAAGCAGAGAGCGAUGAAGCAGACGAGUGUUUUCUGAUUCAUUCUGAUGAUGGAAGAGACAAGAUCGAUGAUUCUCAGCCACCCUUCUGCUCCUCUGAUGACAAUGAAAGUAACUCUGAAAGUGCAGAAAAUGGCUGGGACAGUGGCUCCAAUUUCUCAGAAGAAACCAAACCACCUAGAGUCCCAAAGUAUGUUUUAACAGAUCAUAAAAAAGACCUAUUGGAAGUUCCUGAAAUAAAAACUGAGGGUGACAAAUUUAUCCCUUGUGAGAACAGGUGUGAUUCUGAAACAGAAAGGAAAGACCCACAGAAUGCUCAUGCAGAACCCCUGGAUGGCAACACCCAGCCCUCAUUCCCUGAUGUUGAGGAGGAAGAUAGCGAGAGCCUGGCAGUAAUGACGGAAGAGUCUAGUGACCUGGAAAAGGCCAAGGGGAACUUAAGUUUGCUGGAGCAGGCAAUUGCUCUGCAGGCUGAGCGAGGUUGUGUUUUCCAUAACACCUACAAAGAACUGGACAGGUUCCUGCUGGAGCACCUAGCAGGAGAAAGGAGGCAAACCAAAGUUAUCGAUAUGGGUGGAAGACAAAUCUUUCACAAUAAAC